GUAGCUCAACUGGAUAGAGCAACGGCCUUCUAAGCCGUAGGUUACAGGUUCGAUUCCUGUC
rnacentral:tRNA from 1 species